rnacentral:lncRNA from 1 species
UCCUAGUACCUUCUCUGCCUACAGAGAAGGGGAUGCUGCCUGGGAGCUUUUUGGGACUCCCAAUAGAAGACAGAUUUAGUCUCCUGGAAGGCUGCCUGAUCCAGUUCCCACAGCAGCUGCCACUUGCUCAGGAACGAGGCCCAGCAAAAAGCAGAGACGGUACAGGGCCAGAAGGAUCUGAGAGAGUGUGGCCAGCUUGAGCCCUCAGGAGUCGGCCAGAAGGAUCUGAGAGAGUGUGGCCAGCUUGAGCCCCUCGGGAGUCAGCUCCUCCGUCCCCACUGGUAACGUCUUCACCCCUUCAACACGGUGUGAAGGGCCAUGUCAUGGUUGAUCUUCAGUCCCUCAGACUACACCAUCAGCCCCAUGGGGGUGAGCAAAUAACAAGUAACUAUACUGUUCCCUGCUAUGUGUCUGGCUCUUGGUAAAAUUUAAAAAAGUUAAAAAUUGUUGUGGUUUGAAU